rnacentral:rRNA from 1 species
UGGAUCCAGACUUUGAUCCUGGCUCAGGAUGAACGCUAGCGGCAGGCUUAACACAUGCAAGUCGAGCGGCAGCGGGGCAGAAGCUUGCUUCUGCCGCCGGCGAGCGGCGCACGGGUGAGUAACACGUAUGCAACCUGCCCCUGUCAGGGGGACAACCCUUCGAAAGAAGGGCUAAACCCGCGUAUAUGCUUCGGAGGCAUCUCCGGGGCAGGAAAGGAGCGAUCCGGACAGGGAUGGGCAUGCGUCGCAUUAGGCAGUAGGCGGGGUAACGGCCCACCUAACCGACGAUGCGUAGGGGUUCUGAGAGGAAGGCCCCCCACACUGGUACUGAGACACGGACCAGACUCCUACGGGAGGCAGCAGUGAGGAAUAUUGGUCAAUGGUCGGGAGACUGAACCAGCCAAGCCGCGUGAGGGAAGAAGGCCCAUAGGGUCGUAAACCUCUUUUGUCAGGGGAUAAGACCGGAGACGAGUCUCCGGGUGAAGGUACCUGAAGAAAAAGCAUCGGCUAACUCCGUGCCAGCAGCCGCGGUAAUACGGAGGAUGCGAGCGUUAUCCGGAUUCAUUGGGUUUAAAGGGUGCGUAGGCCGGACGUUAAGUCAGCGGUGAAAUCCCGGAGCUCAACUCCGGCGAGCCGUUGAAACUGGCGUUCUUGAGUACGUGAAAGGCAUGCGGAAUGCGCGGUGUAGCGGUGAAAUGCAUAGAUAUCGCGCAGAACUCCGAUUGCGAAGGCAGCAUGCCGGUGCGUCACUGACGCUGAGGCACGAAAGCGUGGGGAUCGAACAGGAUUAGAUACCCUGGUAGUCCACGCAGUAAACGAUGAAUACUGGCUGUCCGGGCCGAAUGAGGUCUGGGCGGCGAAGCGAAAGCGAUAAGUAUUCCACCUGGGGAGUACGCCGGCAACGGUGCAACUCAAAUGAAUUGACGGA